rnacentral:rRNA from 1 species
CAGCCGCCGCGGUAAUACGUAGGGGCUAGCGUUGUUCGGAAUUACUGGGCGUAAAGGGCGCGUAGGCGGCCAUUCAAGUUAGAUGCGAAAGCCCUGGGCUCAACCUAGGAAUUGCAUUUGAUACUGUUUGGCUUGAGUAUGGGAGAGGUGAGUGGAAUUCCUGGUGUAGCGGUGAAAUGCGUAGAUAUCAGGAGGAACACCUGUGGCGAAAGCGGCUCACUGGACCAUAACUGACGCUGAGGCACGAAAGCUAGGGGAGCAAACAGGAUUAGAUACCCGCGUAGUCCCUGUCUCUUAUACA